rfam:Danio rerio chromosome 4, GRCz11 reference primary assembly.
GUUUGUGAGGCGCAAUCAGUUAGCGCGUUCAACUGUUAACUAAAAGGUUGGUGGUUCAAGCCCACCCAGGGGCG